UGCUUGGUGACUUGGGUUCGCGUCUUUUUGACGCUUUGUUGGUUCUUCUGUCACCGUCUCUUGGUGCGGCGAGCAUGGAGUUCGGCUCGCCCGUCGAUUUUGGCCAUCGCCUGCCUCUCUUCUUGGUGGGCUUGGGGAUUACAACUCCUUUGCAGCUCCGGUGGCACUGGUGGGUAGCUUCUGGAUGGACAAUUCUAGUCGGUCUUCUCUGUUAAUUGGGUUCUAUAUCACGGGCUUCUCUUUGGAUCAUUUCUGGUGAGUUCGUUACUUAUAUUCUAUUGGGCUCUACACACGUGAUCUAUUUAAUUGGGUCUUAUUGGAUAUAUUUAUUUUAUCUUUGGGCUGAUAGACUUGGUGGAUUAUUUGUGGGCUUUUUUUGGGUUGGAUUAAUUGUGUCUUUCAAUCUACCUAUUAUUGGAUAAUUGAGCGAUGACUGAGUUCAAGGGAUCUGUGAGCGAGAUCAUUCCAGUGAUGUCCAAAAUCACUAAACAUAAAUUGAAUAGCACUAAUUAUCUGGAAUGGAGCAAGACGAUUAGAGUCUAUUUAUGCAGAACUCUUUU
rnacentral:lncRNA from 1 species